rnacentral:lncRNA from 1 species
AUCCAGUUCUGAUUUGAGGUGACUAACAAUUCGAGCUAACCCAUGCCACUAGGUUAGUCAUAAUUGUUAUGACUAUGUCAAGUCAAGUUUAAUGAGACCUAAAUCAAAUCUCUUUAAGAAAAUAUUAAGUCUUAGGUCUUCCACCAUUGUGGAUGUGCAGGCCCUUCUGAAGGAAAAACUGACUUUUUCCUUGUAGGAUCUUUCAGAUCUAAUGAGAUCUGGGGC